UACGUAGGGUCCGAGCGUUGUCCGGAAUUACUGGGCGUAAAGAGCUCGUAGGUGGUUUGUCGCGUUGUUCGUGAAAACUCACAGCUCAACUGUGGGCGUGCGGGCGAUACGGGCAGACUAGAGUACUGCAGGGGAGACUGGAAUUCCUGGUGUAGCGGUGGAAUGCGCAGAUAUCAGGAGGAACACCGGUGGCGAAGGCAGAUCUCUGGGCCGUAACUGACGCUGAGGCACGAAGGCCAGGGGAGCAAACGGG
rnacentral:rRNA from 1 species